AGCUAGUUGGAGAGGUAACGGCUCCCCAAGGCAAUGACGGGUAGGGGGUGUGAGAGCAUGGCCCCCCACACUGGGACUGAGACACGGCCCAGACUCCUGCGGGAGGCAGCAGCAGGGAAUAUUGCGCAAUGGACGGAAGUCUGACGCAGCGACGCCGCGUGGAUGACGAAGGCCUUCGGGUUGUAAAAUCCUUUUCCGGGCGAUGAGGAAGGACACUAGCCUGGGAAUAAGCGUCGGCUAACUACGUGCCAGCAGCCGCGGUAAGACGUAGGACGCGAGCGUUAUCCGGAUUUACUGGGCGUAAAGCGCCUGCAGGCGGUCAGGUAAGUCGGUUGUGAAAGCCCCGUGCUCAACGCGGGGAGGCCAAGCGAUACUGCGUGACUUGAGGGCGGAAGAGGGGAGUGGAAUUCCCGGUGUAGCGGUAAAAUGCGCAGAUAUCGGGAGGAACACCAGUGGCGAAGGCGGCUCCCUGGACCGCACCUGACGCUCAGAGGCGAAAGCUAGGGGAGCGAACAGGAUUAGAGACCCUGGUAGUCCUAGCCCUAAACGCUGGAUGCUAGGUGUAGGGCUGAUGAGGCUCUGUGCCGGAGCGAACGCGAUAAGCAUCCCGCCUGGGAACUACGGCCGCAAGGCUAAAACUCAAACGAAUUGACGGGGACCCGCACAAGCAGCGGAGCGUGUGGUUUAAUUCGAUGCUACACGAAGAACCUUACCCGGGUUUGACAUGUUGGUGGUACCGAACCGAAAGGGGAGGGACCCUUCGGGGAGCCAACACAGGUGCUGCAUGGCUGUCGUCAGCUCGUGCCGUGAGGUGUCGGGUUAAGUCCCGUAACGAGCGCAACCCUUGCUCUUAGUUAUACGUGUCUAAGGGGACUGCCGGCGACAAGCCGGAGGAAGCUGGGGAUGACGUCAAGUCAGCAUGGCCUUGAUAUCCAGGGCUACACACACGCUACAAUGGCCGGUACAAAGGGCAGCCAAGCCGCGAGGUGGAGCGAAUCCCAGCAAAGCCGGUCCCAGUUCGGAUUGCAGGCUGCAACCCGCAUGCAUGAAGUUGGAGUUGAUAGUAACCGCGCGUCAGCCAUAGUCCGGUGAAUACGUACCCGGGUCUUGUACACACCGCCCGUCACGUCAUGGGAGUUGGCAACGCCUGACAGCGGUAG
rnacentral:rRNA from 1 species